rnacentral:piRNA from 1 species
GGGGCUAGAGAGAUGACUCA